GAAAUUCAUUUGGUUAGAAUGUGGUACUGAUAAUGCCAAGGUUGUGGGUUCGAUCCCCAUAUGGGAUG